AUAUUUAGAUUCAGAAUCUCUCUCAAUUUAAUGUUGAAUGUUAUUUGGGACAAAUAUUUUGUAUUGAUAAGAAAAUACUGUAUCUUUUAUCCUUAAUGUUUUCAAGAAUGACUUCUAUAAAUUAUGAAAUAGUGUCAAUUUUUCAGGCAACGCUUGAAUUUUCUGUUAUGUAACUACACAAGCAGGUGUGACAACUGGUGUUAACACUUUAAGAUUAAUAUUUUUAGGGACUGUUUUUUCCCUGUUGUUUCUGUUCCUCAGAAUGUUGUAAUAUAUUGUUAGUAGAUUAAUUUAUUUACAUUUAGAUUUUGAAAUUACAUAUGAAGGAUUGUUGAUUGUUGAUAUAUUACAGCAGUAUUUCAAAUCUGUUUAUGGUGCUUUAUUUUAUUAUAUUCUUUCAACUUUGC
rnacentral:lncRNA from 1 species